rnacentral:rRNA from 1 species
UUGGAUCCAGACUUUGAUUCUGGCUCAGGACGAACGCUGGCGGCGUGCCUAACACAUGCAAGUCGAACGGAGAUAUUUAUUUCGGUAGAUAUCUUAGUGGCGCACGGGUGAGUAACGCGUGAAUAACCUGACCCGAAGAGGGGGAUAACACCUGGAAACAAGUGCUAAUACCGCAUAAGACCACGGACCGGCAUCGGUCAGAGGUCAAAGGAGGAAUCCGCUUUGGGAGGGGUUCGCGUCCCAUUAGGUAGUUGGUGAGGUAACGGCCCACCAAGCCGACGAUGGGUAGCCGAGCUGAGAGGCUGAUCGGCCACACUGGGACUGAGACACGGUCCAGACUCCUACGGGAGGCAGCAGUGGGGAAUAUUGGGCAAUGGGCGCAAGCCUGACCCAGCAACGCCGCGUGAGGGAAGAAGGUUUUCGGAUUGUAAACCUCUGUCGCAGGGGACGAAGGAAGUGACGGUACCCUGUAAGAAAGCCCCGGCUAACUACGUGCCAGCAGCCGCGGUAAUACGUAGGGGGCGAGCGUUGUCCGGAAUUACUGGGCGUAAAGGGAGCGUAGGCGGUCGAUUAAGUUAGAUGUGAAACCCCCGGGCUUAACUUGGGGACUGCAUCUAAUACUGGUUGACUUAGAGUACAAGAGAGGGAAGCGGAAUUCCUAGUGUAGCGGUGAAAUGCGUAGAUAUUAGGAGGAACUCCAGUGGCGAAGGCGGCUUUCUGGACUGACACUGACGCUGAGGCUCGAAAGCGUGGGGAGCAAACAGGAUUAGAUACCCUGGUAGUCCACGCUGUAAACGAUGAAUACUAGGUGUAGGGGGUAUCAACUCCCUCUGUGCCGCAGCAAACGCAAUAAGUAUUCCGCCUGGGGAGUACGGCCGCAAGGUUGCAACUCAAAGGAAUUGACGGA